CUACGGGUCGCUCCAGUGGGGAAUAUUGGACAAUGGGGGAAACCCUGAUCCAGCAAUGCCGCGUGUGUGAAGAAGGCCUGCGGGUUGUAAAGCACUUUCGGUUGGGAGGACUGCUUCUAGCACUAAUAUUGUUGGAAGUUGACGUUACCUUCAGAAGAAGCACCGGCUAACUCCGUGCCAGCAGCCGCGGUAAUCGGAGGGUGCAUGCGUUAAUCGGAAUUACUGGGCGUAAAGCGCGCGUAGGCGGCUAGAUCAGUCGGGUGUGAAAGCCCCGGGCUUAACCUGGGAACUGCAUCCGAUACUGGCUAGCUUGAGUACAGGAGAGGAGAGUGGAAUUCCACAUGUAGCGGUGAAAUGCGUAGAUAUGUGGAGGAACACCAAUGGCGAAGGCAGCUCUCUGGCCUGAUACUGACGCUGAGGUGCGAAAGCGUGGGGAGCAAACAGGAUUAGAUACCCUCGUAGUC
rnacentral:rRNA from 1 species